rnacentral:rRNA from 1 species
CUCGGUGGCGAUGGCGGGGAGGUAACACCCGUUCCCAUUCCGACCACGGAAGUUAAGGUCCCCUGCGCCGAUGGUACUGCACCCUCGCAGGUGUGGGAGAGUAGGACGUUGCCGGGU